UAAUUUUAUAAUUUCUGCAUGCCAUCUUACCAGGUUUAAACUGAGGAUCUAUAAUCCGGAAUCACCGAAGUCCCGACGAGUCCGGAUUAACGACUUUUGACUGUAUAUAGUAUAUACCUAUCCAGAACUUGUGGACUUUCUGUGAAUAAUUAGAAUACUUAAAAGCUGAAAUUGUCACAUUCACUUUAGAAUAAUACUUUCAGGUUAGAAAUUUAAAAAUGCAUUUUUUGUUAUGAGUGACCUUGGGAUAAGUGAAGUCAUAUUUAUUAUCCUUUAAAGUAUACUACUUAUAAAAUAUUUUUUCAAAUUUAUUUUAUUUCAUCAUAAUUUCAGAAUUUCUAUGAAAACUGGACCAUCCACUUGAACCCAGCUUGAUGGCAACAAUCUAGAAAAUGAUCUGUACAUAAAAUAAAGCCAUGUAUAAACAUCAGCAAUAGUCAAAAUUUUAUCAAUGAAAUCUUUGCAAUGUUAAUUGUGCCGGUAUCGGCAUCAUUUGUACUAGAGUAAUGAAUUCAUGUUAGUUGUUGAUGCAGUGAAAGUAAGAGGAACAAAGCAAUUUGUACAUUGUCCCUAUUGUUCAUAUAGUACAUCAGUGAAAGGACGCUUACGUGAUCAUAUGUUGACCCAUACUGGAGAGCGACCUCAUAGCUGUCCAUAUUGUGGGAGACGUUUUGCCCAAAAAUCAUCUAUGAGAAGACAUGCAAUGAGACAUUGUAUAUAAAUUUAGUAGUGUUGUUAUUUAUUUGUGUGAAUGAAUGUGUGAAGAAACUCGGGUAAUAUAAUUUAUUUAAACUUAAGCUUCUGUCUCAUGUUUCCAAAGUGUUUAUGUAUUUUGGUGAAUAAAAUAGAUUAGUGCAGUUGCACGUUUUAAAAAUCGUAA